UACGGAGGGUGCAAGCGUUAUCCGGAUUCACUGGGUUUAAAGGGUGUGUAGGCGGGUACUUAAGUCAGUGGUGAAAUCUCCAGGCUCAACCUGGAAACUGCCACUGAUACUAUUUAUCUUGAAUAUCGUUGAGGUAGGCGGAAUAUGUCAUGUAGUGGUGAAAUGCUUAGAGAUGACAUAGAACACCAAGUGCGAAGGCAGCUUACUAAACGAAGAUUGACGCUGAGGCACGAAAGCGUGGGGAUCAAACAGG
rnacentral:rRNA from 1 species